CUACGGGCCGCAGCAGUAGGGAAUAUUGGACAAUGGGCGAAAGCCUGAUCCAGCAACACCGCGUGCACGAUGACGGCCUUCGGGUUGUAAAGUGCUUUUAGAGGAGAUGAGAAAGGACAGUAUCCUCUGAAUAAGCCUCGGCGAACUACGUGCCAGCAGCCGCGGUAAAACGUAGGAGGCAAGCGUUAUCCGGAUUUAUUGGGCGUAAAGCGCGUGCAGGCGGUCUAGCAAGUUGGAUGUGAAAGCUCCCGGCUCAACUGGGAGAGGUCGUUCAAUACUGUUAGACUAGAGAAUAGGAGAGGGAGGUGGAAUUCCGGGUGUAGUGGUGAAAUGCGUAGAUAUCCGGAGGAACACCAGUGGCGAAAGCGGCCUCCUGGACUAUUUCUGACGCUAAGACGCGAAAGCUAGGGUAGCAAACGGGAUUAGACCCGGGUAGUC
rnacentral:rRNA from 1 species